UGCAAACUUAGCAGCAAUGGUCUCACCU
rnacentral:piRNA from 1 species